AGUAACAGAGGCGUCGCCAGCCAUGAAGGCCGCGCUCGUAACGAGUGUCCUCCUACUGCUGCUGCUGCUGGUACUGCAGGCGCCUGCGGAGGAGCCCGACAAUUGGGAGCGCCGCGAAGUGUGUACUCCUGGCGAUACGAUGACGAAAGACUGCAACGAUUGUUUCUGCAUCGACAGGGGACAAUGGAUGUGCACUCUCAGGAAAUGCGGCAAGCAGAAAAGACAGGCGAGAUGCCCGCCUGGGACUACGUUCCUGAGGAAGUGCAGCAGGUGCGUCUGUGACGAUGACGGAGAAACGGCCACGUGCACCAGGACAUGCCCUGGCAAGUAGAAUGGAUAAAUCCUUCCAAUUUCUACAGACCCUUUUUCCAUGUGUUCACUGUAUUUUUUAUGAUAACUUGGUCCUUGAUAUAAGACUUGAUCCUUGUGUUUAUCAGUGUAAUUGAUAUAGCAAUAAAAAAUACUUGGUUCAUA